rnacentral:rRNA from 2 species
GGCCCACCAAGACUAUUACAGGUACGGGCUCUGAGAGGAGUAGCCCGGAGAUGGGUACUGAGACACGGACCCAGGCCCUAUGGGGCGCAGCAGGCGAGAAAACUUUGCAAUGUGCGAAAGCACGACAAGGUUAAUCCGAGUGGUUUCUGCUAAAGGAACCUUUUGUCAGUCCUAGAAACACUGAUGAAUAAGGGGUGGGCAAGUUCUGGUGUCAGCCGCCGCGGUAAAACCAGCACCUCAAGUGGUCAGGAUGAUUAUUGGGCCUAAAGCAUCCGUAGCCGGCUCUGUAAGUUUUCGGUUAAAUCUGUACGCUCAACGUACAGGCUGCCGGGAAUACUGCAAAGCUGGGGAGUGGGAGAGGUAGACGGUACUCGGUAGGAAGGGGUAAAAUCCUUUGAUCUAUUGAUGACCACCUGUGGCGAAGGCGGUCUACCAGAACACGUCCGACGGUGAGGGAUGAAAGCUGGGGGAGCAAACCGGAUUAGAUACCCGGGUAGUCCCAGCUGUAAACCAUGCAAACUCAGUGAUGCAUUGGCUUGUGGCCAAUGCAGUGCUGCAGGGAAGCCGUUAAGUUUGCCGCCUGGGAAGUACGUACGCAAGUAUGAAACUUAAAGGAAUUGGCGGGGGAGCACCACAAGGGGUGAAGCCUGCGGUUCAAUUGGAGUCAACGCCGGG